rnacentral:siRNA from 1 species
AUUGUGUUGGAAUGGUUUCUCUUU